UACGUAGGCAGCGAGCGUUGUUCGGAAUUACUGGGCGUAAAGAGUGUGUAGGCGGUGCUCUAAGUUCGGUGUGAAAUCUCCCGGCUUAACUGGGAGGGUGCGCCGGAAACUGGAGUGCUUGAGCGCGGGAGAGGAAAGCGGAAUUCCUGGUGUAGCGGUGAAAUGCGCAGAUAUCGGAAGGAACACCAGUGGCGAAAGCGGCUUCCUGGUCCAGCACCGACGUUCAGGCACGAAAGCGUGGGGAGCAAACAGG
rnacentral:rRNA from 1 species